rnacentral:lncRNA from 1 species
GAUAUUGGUUCCCACCUACUCACUAAGACAGAGGACCUCAACUGUCCUUCAACAACAUCUGGAGCUGGGGCUGGAAGACAUCCCUCGGGCCCUCUAAGCUUACUGCCCAGGAAAGAAGAGCCACAGUUUCCUCUGUGGGUGACUGGGAGAAGGUGGGAAGACAUCAAUAUUGCACCUGAAAGGUGAGGUCAUUUCUGGCUGUACCCAUAAAUCUUAGUCAUUCAACCAAAUCAUGCAACUUAUAUACACUUAGGUCUAAAAUGCAAACCACAAGUCCACCCCGUAGGAACCACUCCCCUUGACUUGUUCUGCUGCUUCUGAUUUCGAUCCAAGUAUCUGCUCUGUGGUGCUGUGGUAAUUUCAGUUUCUGGCUCCUGCACUAGGCCCUGAGACUUUAUCUCUCUGGCUGUCAAGCUUUGACUUCACUCUCAGCAAACAGGACUUCAACAACACUAGGUUCCUGGCAAACAAACAUGUGCUCAAACUGAAAACAGGAAUUCAGAGGAAGGAUCUCAGAAAAUAAAGGGAAAGCUUGAGUUAUCUAUACCUUGAAUGUAAAAAAGGUUGAAAAAAUCUAGGUGGUUGUCGGAGACAGGCAGGGAGCUAGCUGUCAGUGAGAAACCAAGGCGAGAUCAUUUCUGCUCCGCCCCACCAUCCCCAAGCUCCACAAGGGGAUUGGACCAGUAGUCUAUAAAGAAAACUAAUUUGAAAAUGAACAGAAGUCUGCUUUUACAUGUUAGUUCUGUUCAUUUCUUGUACUUUCUCUUUCAGUGUCUAGUUUGGCCUACUCAUCUGCACCAAAAAAUAUCAAAGAAGUUUUAUUCAAGCAGAGCUAACACUAUCAAUCAUGUACAUUUGUUAGUUCAACAAUCUGAGAAGCCAGAAGGAAGGGCUUUCAGAGUCAAAACUUGACCCUCUGUCCUUUAUUGAAGGAUUACAGGUAAAAACCUGCUGUCAAUAAAUAGUUGCCUUGGUUUUUGCCAUUCCUACAGUACUUUGGGCUAAAGCAAAACUUUAUAAAUUUAAAGCUCAUGAUUGCCAUCUGCUGACACAUGUGUGAAUUACAAGUAGUCUGCAUAGUUGGUAUAUACUGUGUUCAGAUUUGGGUGUUUUGUGUCUUCCUUUCAAACCCAUUAGGUAGAUUUUAUAUCUGAUUUUAUACAUGUAUUUUCCCUAAAAGUACUGUAUUUCACAAUUUACUGAACAACUAAAAUAAAACUGUUUACCAAACUGAACACAUUCAUUUCAAACAGCUAGUCUGUACUGAAACUAUUUUAAUUUUUCCUAUAACAAAGUGAAAUUAUAAAUUUGUCAUCUCAGUAUACAUAGUUUAUAUCUAGAGUGAAUUUUAUCAAUGGAUUUUUUUAAGAGGAUAUAUGUAAAUCUUUAAUUGCUUUACCCUGAAUCAAAUGUUUAUGUAAUUAGAUUGCUUAUCAUGGCAGUAUAUUGAAAAGGAGCUGAAAUUAAUCAUGCUAACACCAAAAACAAAACCCAAACACACACACAUAUAUAUAUAUUCCUAGCAAUGGAAGCAAGGCAUUUUCCAGUUUUUAGUCAUAAUCUUUUCCAAAUUUUCCUCUUUAGUGCUGGGCUUUGGAUUGCUAUUCAUUCAAAAAGAUCAUAAGCUUCCGCUCCUACGUUCAAUUUUACAAUCUUAAUGAAACUGAAUCAAGCGUAUUAAACUGAAGUGUCAGUCAAGGACUCAAAAAAGAAUCACUUAGGAUAAACACUCUUUGUGCUUGGUGCUGCACUGUCAUUAUCUCCUUUAAUCCGCACAACUUCCCAUACCUUUACAGUACAAAUUAGGAAGCUGAAGUUUACAAAGGCUAGACACGUGGUCAAAGGUCACAGAGCACAGGCUGAUGCCUAAAACAGCCCGACUGUGGCAUCUGGCUCCUGCAAGCCAGGCCAUUUUGCCUGAAUUAUUUUCUGCCAGACUACCAGUCCCAGUACUUUGGCCAAGACCAGUGCUCCUUUGACAUCUUCCCAAGUCUGUUAAAAUGGCGGUAUUUACCACUUUGAUGGUUUUAGGCAGAGGAUAAUAAAUAAGCAACCCAUUUUACUGACUCACGAUUUCUUCCUUUAUCAGCAUUGGUCAUGUGGCUAGGAAAAGUGAGGAUUUUUAGUAAUUCAAAGCAUAAGUUGUGAACUAAGUCAUGCCUGGAUUAGAGUCCUUAACUGAUUGACAUCUCUGCCUCCUUGGGAAAGUGAAUCGUUCACUCAAGAAAUACAUUCUAGGCAGUCAGUUUGACUUCCUUUAAAAAAAGAAAGAAACAUGACGUUUAGCGCCCAGGCUUUUCACCUUGCACUAUAUUAAAUCAUCUAAAAAUAAAGGGUUUCUUGUAAUAACCAAAAUCUUCAACAACAGGAGGGAUCUCAUGGUACUUGUUUUGUCUCUUCCCUGGGGUGGUGGGUAGAACAGUUUAAUUUGGGAAAGUGACUCCAUGAUGGUGAACAUUUACAUGCAGGCUGAAUCACUCUUUUAUCCUUUGAAAUCAUGACGCUUGUAGAUGGUGGCUAACAGUCAAAGCAGAUUUAAAAGACUAAAAACUAAAAAAGUUUUCAAAGUCAAACAAGAAAAUUGCCUUUAAAUAUCCAAAGAGUUACAAAAUUACUUCAUAUUUUACAUUUGUGUAAAAUCAUUACCAGAAUAGUUGAUUUCGGGUAAGUUUUCUUUUGACUUAAUUGUUCUGAUGUCCAACUGGUUUUUUUGUUUUGUUU